AUUGAACGCUGGCGGCGUGCCUAAUACAUGCAAGUCGAACGGAGUGGCGAACGGGUGAGUAUUACGUGAGUAACUGCCCUCAACUGUGGGAUAACAGUUGGAAACGGCUGCUAAUACCGGAUAGUGGGGGAUGACUCGCGUCCUAUCAGCUUGUUGGUGGGGUAGUGGCCUACCAAGGCGACGACGGGUAGCCGGCCUGAGAGGGCGACCGGCCACAUUGGGCUGAGAUACGGCCCAAACUCCUACGGGAGGCAGCAGUGGGGAAUAUUGCACAAUGGGGGAAACCCUGAUGCAGCAACGCGCGUGCGGGAUGACGGCCUUCGGGUUGUAAAGUACUUUCAGCGAGGAGGAAGGUUAAUAACCUUGGUGAUUGACGUUACUCGCAGAAGAAGCACCGGCUAACUCCGUGCCAGCCGCCGCGGUAAUAC
rnacentral:rRNA from 1 species